rnacentral:rRNA from 1 species
CAACAGGGAUUGCCCUAGUAACGGCGAGUGAAGCGGCAACAGCUCAAAUUUGAAAUCUGGCUCUCGGGCCCGAGUUGUAAUUUGUAGAGGAUACUUUUGAUGCGGUGCCUUCCGAGUUCCCUGGAACGGGACGCCAUAGAGGGUGAGAGCCCCGUCUGGUUGGAUGCCAAAUCUCUGUAAAGUUCCUUCAACGAGUCGAGUAGUUUGGGAAUGCUGCUCUAAAUGGGAGGUAUAUGUCUUCUAAAGCUAAAUACCGGCCAGAGACCGAUAGCGCACAAGUAGAGUGAUCGAAAGAUGAAAAGCACUUUGAAAAGAGAGUUAAAAAGUACGUGAAAUUGUUGAAAGGGAAGCGUUUAUGACCAGACUUGGGCUUGGUUAAUCAUCUGGGGUUCUCCCCAGUGCACUUUUCCAGUCCAGGCCAGCAUCAGUUUUCCCCGGGGGAUAAAGGCGGCGGGAAUGUGGCUCUCUUCGGGGAGUGUUAUAGCCCACCGUGUAAUACCCUGGGGGGGACUGAGGUUCGCGCAUCUGCAAGGAUGCUGGCGUAAUGGUCAUCAACGACCCGUCUUGAAACACGGACCAAGGAGUCGUCUUCGUAUGCGAGUGUUCGGGUGUCAAACCCCUACGCGUAAUGAAAGUGAACGCAGGUGAGAGCUUCGGCGCAUCAUCGACCGAUCCUGAUGUUCUCGGAUGGAUUUGAGUAAGAGCAUACGGGGCCGGACCCGAAAGAAGGUGAACUAUGCCUGUAUAGGGUGAAGCCAGAGGAAACUCUGGUGGAGGCUCGCAGCGGUUCUGACGUGCAAAUCGAUCGUCAAAUAUGGGCAUGGGGGCGAAAGACUAAUCGAACCUUCUAGUAGCUGGUUUCCGCCGAAGUUUCCCUCAGGAUAGCAGUGUUGAACUCAGUUUUAUGAGGUAAAGCGAAUGAUUAGGGACUCGGGGGCGCUAUUUAGCCUUCAUCCAUUCUCAAACUUUAAAUAUGUAAGAAGCUCUUGUUGCUUAAUUGAACGUGAGCAUUCGAAUGUAUCAACACUAGUGGGCCAUUUUUGGUAAGCAGAACUGGCGAUGCGGGAUGAACCGAACGCGAGGUUAAGGUGCCAGAGUAGACGCUCAUCAGACACCACAAAAGGUGUUAGUACAUCUUGACAGCAGGACGGUGGCCAUGGAAGUCGGAAUCCGCUAAGGACUGUGUAACAACUCACCUGCCGAAUGUACUAGCCCUGAAAAUGGAUGGCGCUCAAGCGUCUCACCCAUACCUCGCCCUCAGGGUAGAAACGAUGCCCUGAGGAGUAGGCGGACGUGGAGGUCAGUGACGAAGCCUAGGGCGGA